ensembl:lncRNA
GCUCUCCUUCCAAAGCUGCCUACUCGCUGGAAGGUGAACCCCAACUUCAGCUUGGACCCCUUGGCUCGCCUGUCCAAGGCUGCUUGCACUGGGCUGCACCCGGGCUGCCGCCAUGCCACGGAAUCUCUAGGAGGACCACCUCCCCAUUCUUAUCCCUGGGGGAGGGUCCCCAAGCCCCCGGGCUGGAAAAGAGGGUAAGAAGCAGUGAACAGUCUUCCUUUCAUGACCACCUAGAAAGCCUACCUGGAAGACAAGUUUGUGUGUAAAGGAGUAGAGAUUACGUCUGAUGGCCAGCUGGCCUCAUAUAAUCAGACCUGAAAGCCAGCCGGCUGCUUCAGAGAGCUCUACGAGGGAGGAGGCUCUGUCUCAUCCUCUCCUCUGCAGAGGGUCUUCAGGGACACAGACUCCUGUCCCAGAAGCUCCAGGGACAGUUGGGGAUUGCAGUGAACUUACCACGUAUGCCUGGAUCAGCUACUUCUGACUGGACCUCAGUUUCUCCAUCUGUAAAAUGAAGCCAUAGAUUCUUCAGGUGGGGAUCCAUGACCCAAACAAGACUAGAAACCAUCACAGUUGGAGCAUUUAUUCGAGAUGGAAUGAACCCGCUUCAGAAAGAAACAAAGUUUAUUUGAUGAAUAUAAAUAAGGCGAUCAGCACAAAGUACUUCUCAUACACAUGAUAACAAAUUUAUGAACUGUACAUACCUUGUACAUUGUACUUCUACUAGACACGAGGUUACAAUGACUGGCUACUACAUGCCCACUGGUAGUUUCUGAGGGUUCCUUAGUUUUAUUUAUUUAUUUUUUUCAUAUCGAAGUCCAUAAUCACAUGGUCAAUAUCACAACCCACAUGCCACUCACUUGGAGAAAUAUUACAAGAAGCACUAUCAAACGAGGGUCUCUGGGAAUUAAAUACACUGACCCCUGGCAGCAUUCAAACGCCACUCAACACAAAAACAUCUCAGAUAGAGCUUAUGUCAACACAUUUGAGGUCUCGUCAUGAACACUGUUUAAAAAGUAAAUGGAAACCCACUUUUAAAUGAAAGUUGACACGCUGUUAACGUGCAUACUGGAUACACCAAAAUCAUUAAGUACAAAAUCGAGACUGUACAUUGAAAUCAAAA